rnacentral:rRNA from 1 species
ACCUGACUGCUAUCGGAUUGGUACUAAGCCAUGCGAGUCAUUGUAGCAAUACAAGGCGGACGGCUCAGUAACACGUAGUCAACCCAACUCGUGGACGUGGAUAACCUCGGGAAACUGAGAAUAAACCACGAUAGAUCAUAGUGCCUGGAAUGGCUUAUGGUCCAAACAGUUUACUGCCAUGGGAUGGGACUGCGGCCUAUCAGCUUGUUGGUGAGGUAAUGGCCCACCAAGGCGAUUACAGGUACGGGCUCUGAGAGGAGAAGCCCGGAGAUGGGUACUGAGACACGGACCCAGGCCCUAUGGGGCGCAGCAGGCGAGAAACCUUAGCAAUGUGCGAAAGCACGACUGGGUCAGUCCGAGUGAUUCCUGAUAAAGGAGUCUUUUGCCUGUCCUAAAAGCACAGGUGAAUAAGGGGUGGGCAAGUCUGGUGUCAGCCGCCGCGGUAAUACCAGCACCUCGAGUGGUCAGGACGUUUAUUGGGCCUAAAGCAUCCGUAGCCGGCUCUGCAAGUCUUCGGUUAAAUCCACCUGCUCAACAGAUGGGCCGCUGGAGAUACUACAGAGCUAGGGAGUGGGAGAGGCAGACGGUAUUCAGUGGGUAGGGGUAAAAUCCUCUGAUCCAUUGAGGACCACCAGUGGCGAAGGCGGUCUGCCAGAACACGUUCGACGGUGAGGGAUGAAAGCUGGGGGAGCAAACCGGAUUAGAUACCCGGGUAGUCCCAGCUGUAAACGAUGCAAACUCGGUGAUGCAUUGGCUUAUGGCCAAUGCAGUGCCGCAGGGAAGCCGUUAAGUUUGCCGCCUGGGAAGUACGGACGCAAGUCUGAAACUUAA